rnacentral:rRNA from 1 species
CCUACGGGAGGCAGCAGUGAGGAAUAUUGGUCAAUGGACGAGAGUCUGAACCAGCCAAGUAGCGUGAAGGAUGACUGCCCUAUGGGUUGUAAACUUCUUUUAUAUGGGAAUAAAACGUUCCACGUGUGGCUUUUUGUAUGUACCUUAUGAAUAAGGAUCGGCUAACUCCGUGCCAGCAGCCGCGGUAAUACGGAGGAUCCGAGCGUUAUCCGGAUUUAUUGGGUUUAAAGGGAGCGUAGGUGGGUUGUUAAGUCAGUUGUGAAAGUUUGCGGCUCAACCGUAAAAUUGCAGUUGAAACUGGCAGUCUUGAGUACAGUAGAGGUGGGCGGAAUUCGUGGUGGAGCGGUGAAAUGCUUAGAUAUCACGAAGAACUCCGAUUGCGAAGGCAGCUCACUGGACUGCAACUGACACUGAGGCUCGAAAGUGUGGGUAUCAAACAGGAUUAGAUACCCGAGUAGUC